GACGAACGCUGGCGGCGUGCCUAAUACAUGCAAGUCGAGCGGAUCUUCCCUUCGGGGAAGGUUAGCGGCGGACGGGUGAGUAACACGUAGGCAACCUGCCUGCAAGACCGGGAUAACAUUCGGAAACGAAUGCUAAUACCGGAUACGCAGUUUCCCCGCAUGGGGGAACUGGGUAAGGCGGCGCAAGCUGUCACUUGCAGAUGGGCCUGCGGUGCAUUAGCUAGUUGGUGGGGUAACGGCUCACCAAGGCGACGAUGCAUAGCCGACCUGAGAGGGUGAUCGGCCACACUGGGACUGAGACACGGCCCAGACUCCUACGGGAGGCAGCAGUAGGGAAUCUUCCGCAAUGGACGCAAGUCUGACGGAGCAACGCCGCGUGAGUGAUGAAGGUUCUCGGAUCGUAAAGCUCUGUUGCCAGGGAAGAACAGCCAGGCGAGUAACUGCGCUUGGAAUGACGGUACCUGAGAAGAAAGCCCCGGCUAACUACGUGCCAGCAGCCGCAGUAACAC
rnacentral:rRNA from 1 species